CGACCGGCGCACGGGUGAGUAACACGUAUCCAACCUGCCGUCUACUCUUGGACAGCCUUCUGAAAGGAAGAUUAAUACAAGAUGGCAUCAUGAGUCCGCAAUGUUCACAUGAUUAAAGGUAUUCCGGUAGACGAUGGGAUGCGUUCCAUUAGAUAGUAGGCGGGGUAACGGCCCACCUAGUCUUCGAUAGGUAGGGGUUCUGAGAGGAAGGUCCCCCCACCAUUGGAACUGAGACACGGUCCAAACUCCUACGGGAGGCAGCAUG
rnacentral:rRNA from 1 species